rnacentral:rRNA from 1 species
ACUCAAAGGAAUAGACGGGGGCCCGCACAAGCAGCGGAGCGUGUGGUUUAAUUCGAUGCAACGCGAAGAACCUUACCCAGGCUUGACAUGCACGUGGUACUGAGGGGAAACCUGAGGGACCCGCGAGGGAGCGUGCACAGGUGCUGCACGGCUGUCGUCAGCUCGUGCCGUGAGGUGUUGGGUUAAGUCCCGCAACGAGCGCAACCCCCGCGGCCAGUUACGAAGUCUGGUCGGACCGCCGGGACUAACCCGGAGGAAGGUGGGGACGACGUCAAGUCAGCGUGGCCCUUACGUCUGGGGCGACACACACGCUACAAUGGUCGGGACAAAGGGCAGCGAGGGGGCGACCCGGAGCGAAUCCCAACAAACCCGGCCCCAGUUCGGAUCGGAGGCUGAAACUCGCCUCCGUGAAGUCGGAGUUGCUAGUAACCGCCGGUCAGCACACGGCGGUGAAUGCGUUCCCGGGCCUUGUACACACCGCCCGU